rnacentral:rRNA from 1 species
AUACGGAGGGGGCUAGCGUUGUUCGGAAUUACUGGGCGUAAAGCGCGCGUAGGCGGAUUGAUCAGUCAGGGGUGAAAUCCCGAGGCUUAACCUCGGAACUGCCUUUGAUACUGUCAAUCUUGAGUUCGAGAGAGGUGAGUGGAAUUCCUAGUGUAGAGGUGAAAUUCGUAGAUAGUAGGAAGAACACCAGUGGCGAAGGCGGCUCACUGGCCCGAUACUGACGGUGAGGCGCGAAAGCGUGGGGAGCAAACAGAAUUAGAAACCCUAGUAGUCC